rnacentral:tRNA from 1 species
GUUUUAAUAAUUUAAACAAAAUACUGAUCUUGUAAAUCAGAAAUAAGAUUAUCUUUUAAAACU